UUACACGGCCAUGCCACCCUGAACAAGCCCGAUCCUGUCUGAUCUUAGAAGCUAAGCAGGGUCGGGCCUGGUUAGUACUUGGAUGGGAGACCACCUAGGAAGACCAGGUGCUGUGGCGC
rnacentral:rRNA from 1 species